rnacentral:rRNA from 1 species
GACGAACGCUGGCGGCGUGCUUAACACAUGCAAGUCGAACGGUAAGGCCCUUCGGGGUACACGAGUGGCGAACGGGUGAGUAACACGUGGGUGAUCUGCCCUGCACUUCGGGAUAAGCCGGGGAAACUGGGUCUAAUACCGGAUAGGACCACUGCCUGCAUGGGUGGUGGUGGAAAGCUUUUGCGGUUUGGGAUGGGCCCGCGGCCUAUCAGCUUGUGGGUGGGGUGAUGGCCUACCAAGGCGACGACGGGUAGCCGGCCUGGGAGGGUGACCGGCCACACUGGGACUGAGAUACGGCCCAGACUCCUACGGGAGGCAGCAGUGGGGAAUAUUGCACAAUGGGCGCAAGCCUGAUGCAGCGACGCCGCGUGAGGGAUGACGGCCUUCGGGUUGUAAACCUCUUUCAGCACCGACGAAGCGCAAGUGACGGUAGGUGCAGAAGAAGGACCGGCCAACUACGUGCCAGCCGCCGCCGUAA